rnacentral:rRNA from 1 species
GAUGAACGCUGGCGGCGUGCCUAAUACAUGCAAGUCGAGCGAACAGAUGAGGAGCUUGCUCCUCUGACGUUAGCGGCGGACGGGUGAGUAACACGUGGAUAACCUACCUAUAAGACUGGGAUAACUUCGGGAAACCGGAGCUAAUACCGGAUAAUAUAUUGAACCGCAUGGUUCAAUAGUGAAAGACGGUUUUGCUGUCACUUAUAGAUGGAUCCGCGCCGCAUUAGCUAGUUGGUAGGGUAACGGCUUACCAAGGCAACGAUGCGUAGCCGACCUGAGAGGGGGAUCGGCCACACUGGAACUGAGACACGGUCCAGACUCCUACGGGAGGCAGCAGUAGGGAAUCUUCCGCAAUGGGCGAAAGCCUGACGGAGCAACGCCGCGUGAGUGAUGAAGGUCUUCGGAUCGUAAAACUCUGUUAUUAGGGAAGAACAAAUGUGUAAGUAACUAUGCACGUCUUGACGGUACCUAAUCAGAAAGCCACGGCUAACUACGUG